GUCCCCAGAGCGCUGGGAGGACCAGCAGGUAGAGUGUCAGUGUACUCAGUGCUGGGGAGUGUGCACCCUGGCUGUCAGUGUACUCAGUGCUGGAGAGUGUGCACUCAGGCUGUCAGUUGUACUCAGUGCUGGGGAGUGUGCACCCAGGCUGUCAGUUGUACUCAGUGCUGGAGAGUGUGCACCCUGGCUGUCAGUGUACUCAGUGCUGGGGAGUGUGCACCCAGGCUGUCAGUGUACUCAGUGCUGGAGAGUGUGCACUCAGGCUGUCAGUGUACUCAGUGCUGGAGAGUGUGCACCCUGGCUGUCAGUGUACUCAGUGCUGGAGAGUGUGCACCCUGGCUGUCAGUGUACUCAGUGCUGGAGAGUGUGCACUCAGGCUGUCAGUGUACUCAGUGCUGGAGAGUGUGCACUCAGGCUGUCAGUGUACUCAGUGCUGGAGAGUGUGCACUCUGGCUGUCAGUGUACUCAGUGCUGGAGAGUGUGCACUCUGGCUGUCAGUGUACUCAGUGCUGGGGAGUGUGCACCCUGGCUGUCAGUGUACUCAGUGCUGGAGAGUGUGCACCCUGGCUGUCAGUGUACUCGGUGCUGGAGAGUGUGCACCCUGGCUGUCGGUGUACUCUGUGCUGGAGAGUGUGCACCCUGGCUGUCGGUGUACUCUGUGCUGGAGAGUGU